GUUAUCGAUAUGUGAAUACAUAGCAUAUCAGAAGGCACACCCGGAGAACUGAAACAUCUUAGUACCCGGAGGAAGAGAAAGAAAAUUCGAUUCCCUUAGUAGCGGCGAGCGAAACGGGAAGAGCCCAAACCAACAAGCUUGCUUGUUGGGGUUGUAGGACACUCUAUACGGAGUUACAAAGGACGACAUUAGACGAAUCAUCUGGAAAGAUGAAUCAAAGAAGGUAAUAAUCCUGUAGUCGAAAAUGUUGUCUCUCUUGAGUGGAUCCUGAGUACGACGGAGCACGUGAAAUUCCGUCGGAAUCUGGGAGGACCAUCUCCUAAGGCUAAAUACUCUCUAGUGACCGAUAGUGAACCAGUACCGUGAGGGAAAGGUGAAAAGCACCCCGGAAGGGGAGUGAAAUAGAACCUGAAACCGUGUGCUUACAAGUAGUCAGAGCCCGUUAAUGGGUGAUGGCGUGCCUUUUGUAGAAUGAACCGGCGAGUUACGAUUUGAUGCAAGGUUAAGCAGUAAAUGUGGAGCCGUAGCGAAAGCGAGUCUGAAUAGGGCGUUUAGUAUUUGGUCGUAGACCCGAAACCAGGUGAUCUACCCUUGGUCAGGUUGAAGUUCAGGUAACACUGAAUGGAGGACCGAACCGACUUACGUUGAAAAGUGAGCGGAUGAACUGAGGGUAGCGGAGAAAUUCCAAUCGAACCUGGAGAUAGCUGGUUCUCUCCGAAAUAGCUUUAGGGCUAGCCUCAAGUGAUGAUUAUUGGAGGUAGAGCACUGUUUGGACGAGGGGCCCCUCUCGGGUUACCGAAUUCAGACAAACUCCGAAUGCCAAUUAAUUUAACUUGGGAGUCAGAACAUGGGUGAUAAGGUCCGUGUUCGAAAGGGAAACAGCCCAGACCACCAGCUAAGGUCCCAAAAUAUAUGUUAAGUGGAAAAGGAUGUGGCGUUGCCCAGACAACUAGGAUGUUGGCUUAGAAGCAGCCAUCAUUUAAAGAGUGCGUAAUAGCUCACUAGUCGAGUGACACUGCGCCGAAAAUGUACCGGGGCUAAACAUAUUACCGAAGCUGUGGAUUGUCCUUUGGACAAUGGUAGGAGAGCGUUCUAAGGGCGUUGAAGCAUGAUCGUAAGGACAUGUGGAGCGCUUAGAAGUGAGAAUGCCGGUGUGAGUAGCGAAAGACGGGUGAGAAUCCCGUCCACCGAUUGACUAAGGUUUCCAGAGGAAGGCUCGUCCGCUCUGGGUUAGUCGGGUCCUAAGCUGAGGCCGACAGGCGUAGGCGAUGGAUAACAGGUUGAUAUUCCUGUACCACCUAUAAUCGUUUUA
rnacentral:rRNA from 1 species